UUUCCAGACUCCUACGGGAGGCAGCAGUAGGGAAUUUUGCGCAAUGGGCGAAAGCCUGACGCAGCAACGCCGCGUGAUCGAGACGCCCUUCGGGGUGUAAAGAUCUGUCAGUGGGGACGAAACUUGACGGUACCCACAGAGGAAGCACCGGCUAACUCCGUGCCAGCAGCCGCGGUAAUACGGGGGGUGCAAGCGUUGUCCGGAUUUACUGGGUGUAAAGGGAGCGUAGACGGCAUGGCAAGUCAGAUGUGAAAGCCCGGGGCUCAACCCCGGGACUGCAUUUGAAACUGUCAGGCUGGAGUGCAGGAGAGGUAAGUGGAAUUCCUAGUGUAGCGGUGAAAUGCGUAGAUAUUAGGAGGAACACCAGUGGCGAAGGCGGCUUACUGGACUGUAACUGACGUUGAGGCUCGAAAGCGUGGGGAGCAAACAGGAUUAGAUACCCCUGUAC
rnacentral:rRNA from 1 species